UUGACCUCGGAUCAGGUAGGAAUACCCGCUGAACUUAAGCAUAUCAAUAAGCGGAGGAAAAGAAACCAACAGGGAUUGCCCUAGUAACGGCGAGUGAAGCGGCAACAGCUCAAAUUUGAAAUCUGGCUCUCGGGCCCGAGUUGUAAUUUGUAGAGGAUACUUUUGAUGCGGUGCCUUCCGAGUUCCCUGGAACGGGACGCCAUAGAGGGUGAGAGCCCCGUCUGGUUGGAUGCCAAAUCUCUGUAAAGUUCCUUCAACGAGUCGAGUAGUUUGGGAAUGCUGCUCUAAAUGGGAGGUAUAUGUCUUCUAAAGCUAAAUACCGGCCAGAGACCGAUAGCGCACAAGUAGAGUGAUCGAAAGAUGAAAAGCACUUUGAAAAGAGAGUUAAAAAGUACGUGAAAUUGUUGAAAGGGAAGCGUUUAUGACCAGACUUGGGCUUGGUUAAUCAUCUGGGGUUCUCCCCAGUGCACUUUUCCAGUCCAGGCCAGCAUCAGUUUUCCCCGGGGGAUAAAGGCGGCGGGAAUGUGGCUCUCUUCGGGGAGUGUUAUAGCCCACCGUGUAAUACCCUGGGGGGGACUGAGGUUCGCGCAU
rnacentral:rRNA from 2 species